UAGAGGAAGACAUUGGGGCAAGAAGAGAGCAACAAAAAAACUGAAGGAAGACAAUGGCCAAGAAGAGGAAACAAAGAAACUCAAGGUAAUUCAAUGCAUGUUCAUGAUGGCUUUUUACUUCACUUUGUUGGUGACAAUUGUAUUGAUGGAUUAGAGAAUUAUUGAUGAUGGAUUUUUGGUUGUCAUGGAAUGUUGGAUUGUUGUAUGGAUUAUUUGUAUUUUUGGUAUGAAUUGAAUGUUUUGGAUCA